UGGUAAUUCUAGAGCUAAUACAUGCUGAAAACCCCGACUUCGGGAGGGGUGUAUUUAUUAGAUAAAAAACCAACGCCCUCCGGGGCUCCUUGGCGAAUCAUAAUAACUCAACGAAUCGCAUGGCCUUGCGCCGGCGAUGGUUCAUUCAAAUUUCUGCCCUAUCAACUUUCGAUGGUAGGAUAGUGGCCUACCAUGGUUUCAACGGGUAACGGGGAAUUAGGGUUCGACUCCGGAGAGGGAGCCUGAGAAACGGCUACCACAUCCAAGGAAGGCAGCAGGCGCGCAAAUUACCCAAUCCCGACGCGGGGAGGUAGUGACAAUAAAUACUGAUACAGGGCUCUUUUGGGUCUUGUAAUUGGAAUGAGUACAAUUUAAAUCCCUUAACGAGGAACAAUUGGAGGGCAAGUCUGGUGCCAGCAGCCGCGGUAAUUCCAGCUCCAAUAGCGUAUAUUAAAGUUGUUGCAGUUAAAAAGCUCGUAGUUGAACCUUGGGCCUGGCUGGCCGGUCCGCCUCACCGCGUGCACUGGUCCGGCCGGGCCUUUCCUUCUGGGGAGCCGCAUGGCCUUCACUGGCCGUGUCGGGGAACCAGGACUUUUACUUUGAAAAAAUUAGAGUGUUCAAAGCAGGCCUUUGCUCGGAUACAUUAGCAUGGAAUAAUAGAAUAGGACGUGUGGUUCUAUUUUGUUGGUUUCUAG
rnacentral:rRNA from 3 species